rnacentral:misc_RNA from 1 species
UCUCCGUUGGUGAACCAGCGGAGGGAGCAUUACAGAGUUAUCUAACUCACAAACCCAUUGGAACUUCCCAUUUGUUGCCUCGGCAGAGCCUACCCGGUAACUGUUCGGAGAAGCUACCCUGUAGCUACCCUGUAACGGCCUACCCUGUAACGCACUGCCGGUGGACUUUUAAACUCUUGUUAUUUUAUAGUAAUCUGAGCGUCUUAUUUUAAUAAGUCAAAACUUUCAACAACGGAUCUCUUGGUUCUGGCAUCGAUGAAGAACGCAGC